GGUUUGUUAAAGAGUAAAUUGCAAAUUUACUUAGGCUUAUUAAAGCACAAGCCU
rnacentral:tRNA from 1 species